AGUGCUUCAUUUAUGUUUGUGCCUAUGAAUUUCUUCCAUUUUAUGGGCCUUGUGAGCAAGUGAAGCAAGAAAAACAAGGUUCCCCUUGCUAUCCAAUGCACAUCUGCUUUGUUGCAUUUGGACGUCGGGGAGCUACAUGU